UUUUGCAAUGAAACUGUUGCUAGUACGAUGCUGUACAAAAGGACGCUCCGUGAUUUGAUUUCCUCAUUCUACAACUAUUACAAAUUCCCAAGUCUAUUUCAAUGAGGAAAUGCAGUAAUACAGAAGAAAAAGAAACAGAACAGUUUUAGUCCCAUCUGCGGCAAUCCAACUGCAGAGUCUCACACAAUUUAGCAUUGAAAAUGGAAUAUAACAAGAGAACAUCUCAGAGGCCUAUAGGCCAAUAAUAACAUGUAGCAUGUCUUAUUUAAAGAGACAGAGCAAUGUAAAAAGGCAGGUGAAGUUGAUAUUAUAAGUAGACACUAGUUUACUUCCACUUCUUGAAUUUGCCUCCGAACAUCCCGCCCUUGCCAUGCUUUCCGUGCUUUCCGUGCUUGAAUUUCCCAUGCUUGCCAUGCUUAAACUUGCCUCCAUAAUGACCACCUCCAUAAUGACCGCCUCCAUAGUGAGCAGCACCGUGUGCCAUGUGAGAUCCACUUCCGUGUGCCAGGUGAUGAGCACCAUAGGCAGCAGCAGCAGAAACUUGCCAUGCUUUCCGUGCUUGAAUUUCCCAUGCUUGCCAUGCUUAAACUUGCCUCCAUAAUGACCGCCUCCGUGUCCAUAGUGAGCAGCACCGUGUGCGAUGUGAGAUCCACUUCCGUGUGCCAGGUGAUGAGCACCAUAGGCAGCAGCUGCAGCUGCAGCACCUCCGGCUAACAUCGCCCCCAUGCCCCCAUGACCUGAAAUGUAACAAGCAACGAAAGGGUAAAAAAUACCAUCAACAAUGAAAGAAAAUGUCAAAAAGUAUUUGGUCACAAAUAGCUAGCUAUUAUGCAGCACUGUUAGAAUUGCAUGUACUCUGUUUCAGUGCUCACAACAUAUAAACUGUUCUUGCCAUAUUUGUGCAUCUAGUUGUAAAAGAGAUUCAAAGAACUUUAACUAGACAAAUCCAACAUAUUGUGCACUUGGUAUAGUUACAGCUUUCUAUUAUUCAUUGGGGCCUAAAUAAAUCAGUUCCAAAGAUAAUACCUGAUUGGUGUGGAGGACCAUGGUGACCACCAGCGGGAGGAUAUCCUUGUGGAGGAUAUCCGGCAGGUGGGUAUCCUCCUCCAUGUGGAGGAUAACCCUGAGGAGGAUAUCCUUGAGGAGGAUACCCUUGUUGCGGAGGGUAAGCACCAGGCGGUGGAGGGUACUGCCCCGGUGGAUAUCCAUGACCAGAAGAAUGACCGGUCAUACCGGGUAUAAGAUGGGAAAAGAGUCCCUUAUCAGACCCAUCCUGUCCACCUCCCAUAUUUCACUACUAGUACCUGUUACAUGCCAAACAUAUUACAACAAUGUCAAAUUCAAAAUAAAAUGAAAUUUGCAGAAGAUAGAGAAUAUGACCCACAAGGAAAUCAAAUUGUAACUCCCUUUCAACUUUGAAACCUAUAAUCCUUUCUCAAACAUCAAUCAGUCAAAACGGGAUACAAGAUAGCACACAAACGGUUAUAGAAAAAGGGUCACAGGAUAUACAGUAAGCACUCUAAAACAUGAUAAGCUACUAUUGGGGAAAAGGAGAAAGGGGGAGAGGGGGGGUGGGGGGAUAGCUAAAAAAGUAGGUGAAAAUGCAAAAUUUAACACGACAAGUUAUAACCAAAAUUGCAGGAAGCCAGCAAAUAUGUUGUGAGCCAAAGCUACUGCAAGAAACAGGAGGAGGGUACGCAUUAACAUUCUUUUGUGUGGAUUUCUACGAAGUACCAUUCUCUCCAUCAAAUUCAAAACUCAGAUCCAUCAUAUUUUAUUAAAUUUUCAGAUCACCUUUAGGAAAACCAAGCCAACACCUCUUAAAGACUAGAAAAGCAAAGAUUCCCCCACCCAUUUUUUGGAUAAGUUAGAAAUAUCAAAGGUUAAAGCAAUUCAGUUUAUAAUUUGAGGAAAAUGCGAAGGAUUUUGUUUGUGCGUGGUUUUUUUUUGGGGGGUGAGGGAGGGGAAGGAAGUAAAGCAGAAGACACUAAAAUAUACUAAUGACGCAAAAGGAGCUACAGCCAAAGAUUCAUUCAUUUUUGAUUUGCUGAAUAUAAUCUAGGUUACAUGGCCACACUUUUGUCGUACACAUCAAAAAGACAAACCCCCCAUAAAAUAGUCUCUAUUUCUUAAAUACAAAAUCAUGCAAAAGGACAGUCAUCAUCUUCAAAAGCAUCCAAAUUCAGUUUCAGAAUAGGACAAUUCUCAACCCAAAAGCAGAAAAAAACGAAUAGUCGAAGUUGAUCUAUCUAAUCUCUAUUUGAUGAUCAUACAACAAACAAAAGCUCAAGAAAUCAAACCCUCUGAUCUCCAUUUGACCAAACGCAAAUCAAGAACAUAUCAAACACAAAGGGUAUAAAAGAUCAAACUUGUAAAAUAAACAGAUGUUAUGUUUCAGAGUCGUGAUCAACUGGGUAAUUCAGAUCCAAUUUGAUCAUUCAUGUAUGACAGAAGUAAAAAAGGGGAAGAAUGGUUCUUACAGAUUUUCUUUGUUGAGCGAAUGUUAACAAAGUUUUUCGAAUGAAGAUUUCCAAAGAGUGGAUAUGG
rnacentral:lncRNA from 1 species